rnacentral:rRNA from 1 species
UAGGGAAUCUUCGGCAAUGGGGGGGACCCUGACCGAGCAACGCCGCGUGAGUGAAGAAGGUUUUCGGAUCGUAAAGCUCUGUUGUUAAGGAAGAACGAGUGUGAGAAUGGAAAGUUCAUACUGUGACGGUACUUAACCAGAAAGGGACGGCUAACUACGUGCCAGCAGCCGCGGUAAUACGUAGGUCCCGAGCGUUGUCCGGAUUUAUUGGGCGUAAAGCGAGCGCAGGCGGUUAGAUAAGUCUGAAGUUAAAGGCAGUGGCUCAACCAUUGUAGGCUUUGGAAACUGUUUAACUUGAGUGCAGAAGGGGAGAGUGGAAUUCCAUGUGUAGCGGUGAAAUGCGUAGAUAUAUGGAGGAACACCGGUGGCGAAAGCGGCUCUCUGGUCUGUAACUGACGCUGAGGCUCGAAAGCGUGGGGAGCGAACAGG